UAGAGUUUGAUCCUGGCUCAGGAUGAACGCUAGCGGCAGGCUUAACACAUGCAAGUCGAGGGGCAGCACGGGUAGCAAUACCUGGUGGCGACCGGCGGAAGGGUGCGUAACGCGUGAGCAACAUGCCCUAUACAGGGGAAUAAACCAGGGAAACUUGGUCUAAUGCCCCAUAGCAAUAAGAUAAGGCAUCUUAUUUUAUUUAAAGCUUCGGUGGUAUAGGAUUGGCUCGCGUGACAUUAGCUGGAUGGUGGGGUAACGGCCCACCAUGGCGAUGAUGUCUAGGGGUUCUGAGAGGAAGACCCCCCACACUGGGACUGAGACACGGCCCAGACUCCUACGGGAGGCAGCAGUGAGGAAUAUUGGACAAUGGAUGGAAAUCUGAUCCAGCCAUGCCGCGUGCAGGAAGACGGCCCUAUGGGUUGUAAACUGCUUUUCUACGGGAGCAAUAAGGUCUACGCGUAGACUGAUGAGAGUACCGUAGGAAUAAGCAUCGGCUAACUCCGUGCCAGCAGCCGCGGUAAUACGGAGGAUGCGAGCGUUAUCCGGAUUUAUUGGGUUUAAAGGGUGCGUAGGCGGCUUUUUAAGUCAGCGGUGAAAUUUUGCAGCUUAACUGUAACAGUGCCGUUGAUACUGGGGAGCUAGGAUUUGGUUGCUGUGGGUGGAAUGUGUGGUGUAGCGGUGAAAUGCUUAGAGAUCACACAGAAUAUCGAUUGCGAAGGCAGCUCACAAAGCCAAGAUUGACGCUGAGGCACGAAAGUGUGGGGAUCAAACAGGAUUAGAUACCCUGGUAGUCCACACUGUAAACGAUGAUAACUCGCUGUCGGCGAUACACAGUCGGUGGCCAAGCGAAAGCGAUA
rnacentral:rRNA from 1 species